UACGUAGGGGGCUAGCGUUGUCCGGAAUUACUGGGCGUAAAGCGCGCGUAGGCGGCUUUGUAAGUUAGAGGUGAAAGCCCGGAGCUCAACUCCGGAACUGCCUUUAAAACUGCAUCGCUUGAAUCCAGGAGAGGUGAGUGGAAUUCCGAGUGUAGAGGUGAAAUUCGUAGAUAUUCGGAAGAACACCAGUGGCGAAGGCGGCUCACUGGACUGGUAUUGACGCUGAGGUGCGAAAGCGUGGGGAGCAAACAGG
rnacentral:rRNA from 1 species